rnacentral:misc_RNA from 1 species
CUACUGCUCACUCUGUAUACAUAUAUGCCAUAGACAACAUUAGAUCUUAUCUUCCCAUUUCAACAUGAGAUUCUCUUCUGUUAUCUCCAUUUUUAUACUUGCUAUUCUUGGUUUCUGGACAUUGAUUCAUGCCCAGCAGCCUUAUGAGGGAAAAGCUACAACAAAUUGUUCCAACACCGACAAUUCUGUUCUUGGAUACUCUUGCAGUGGUCUAAACAGGAGUUGCCAGGCUUAUGUUACCUUCAGAUCCCAACCUCCUUACAACUCUGUCGCUUCCAUCUCUACCCUCUUGAGCUCUGACCCAUCUCAGCUCUCUGCAAUAAACUCAGUUUCUGAGACUGCAUCAUUUGAUACAAACAAAUUGGUGAUAGUUCCUGUUAACUGCU